rfam:Streptomyces cattleya DSM 46488, complete genome.
GACCCGGCACUAGAUGUAUGCUCAUCACCGCUGCUGUCGCAGGGGAACCCGGUGAGAUUCCGGGACUGCCCCGCAACGGUGUCCCGGCGUGCCCGACGCGCCGGAGAAGUCCGAGUACCUGCCGGCAGCGCCACUUCGGG